rnacentral:rRNA from 1 species
UACGUAGGGUGCAAGCGUUAAUCGGAAUUACUGGGCGUAAAGCGUGCGCAGGCGGUUGUGCAAGACAGAUGUGAAAUCCCCGGGCUCAACCUGGGAACUGCAUUUGUGACUGCACGGCUAGAGUGUGUCAGAGGGGGGUAGAAUUCCACGUAUAGCAGUGAAAUGCGUAGAUAUGUGGAGGAAUACCGAUGGCGGAGGCAGCCCCCUGGGAUAACACUGACGCUCAUGCACGAAAGUGUGGGGAGCGAACAGG